UGGAACGGUAGCACAGAGAGCUUGCUCUCGGGUGACGAGUGGCGGACGGGUGAGUAAUGUCUGGGAAACUGCCCGAUGGAGGGGGAUAACUACUGGAAACGGUAGCUAAUACCGCAUAACGUCUUCGGACCAAAGUGGGGGACCUUCGGGCCUCACACCAUCGGAUGUGCCCAGAUGGGAUUAGCUAGUAGGUGGGGUAACGGCUCACCUAGGCGACGAUCCCUAGCUGGUCUGAGAGGAUGACCAGCCACACUGGAACUGAGACACGGUCCAGACUCCUACGGGAGGCAGCAGUGGGGAAUAUUGCACAAUGGGCGCAAGCCUGAUGCAGCCAUGCCGCGUGUAUGAAGAAGGCCUUCGGGUUGUAAAGUACUUUCAGUGGGGAGGAAGGCGAUGAAGUUAAUAACUUCGUCGAUUGACGUUACCCGCAGAAGAAGCACCGGCUAACUCCGUGCCAGCCGCCGCGGUAAUUCGUCGUGACUG
rnacentral:rRNA from 1 species